rnacentral:misc_RNA from 1 species
AAAAAAAAAAAAAAAAAGGAGAACCAGUUUGAAAGUAUUAUUGUGGCAACUAUCUUUUCAACAAGCUCUUACUGUAUACUUCUUCCCAACAGGUUUAUCAAACAAUAGGAAGCCAUCAACUAAAAAACAAUUCCUAUUUGAGAUCAAUUAAUAUAAAAAAGCAAGGUUGUGGGGGUUUCUAGUGUUGUUCUACUUAUUGUUUAUUUAUGCUACUUAUGAUUUGUAUGUGUUAAAUAAAGAUCUUUCAAUUUAUUGGUAAUACAUGGCCUCAAAUGAAGUUGUGGGAGAGAAUUAUGGAACAUCGACUACGUCAUGACA